UGUCCAGGGGCGGGAAUCGAACCCACAACCUUCUGCUUACCGGGCAGGUGCCAUGUCCACUAGGUAUUAUUACAUGCGC